rnacentral:misc_RNA from 1 species
AAUAAAAAGGUUCCCUCUGACUCCCAGCCAUUUUAUAACUCUUAAUAAUUAGGUGGCCUGGUAUAAUAGAAGCUGAUCCUGACACUGAUACCUACUAUAAAGCAAAGAAUGAAAAAGGCGGAAAACCUUCACCAGCUACACCUGAGAAGUAUCAAUCAUGUUGUCUUUAUUGAUACACCAGUAUCAAGGAGUUGGAUUCAUGCACUAAACACUGCUCCAUUUACUUGUAGUACCACUUUAAAGGACUGUGGAUCAAAUAUUCCAUUGAAGUAUCAAGCUGGUCUUUCUACAGCAAUGUCGCAGGCAAAAGCUACCACUAAAUGAGAGAUUGUCUCAGUGGGGUUUCAUGUCCCGAUAUAAUAAAGGUCGUAAGAGAAAAGACAGCUCAAAGCAAGG